UAAUUACACCGUAAAUUUAACUGUUAAUCUAAAGGGGUACAGCCCUUUAGACUAAGGACACAACCUUAAUUAGAGAGUAAAUAUACUAACAACCAUAGUUGGCCUAAAAGCAGCCAUCAAUUAAGAAAGCGUUCAAGCUCAACAAUAAUUAAUUCCUUAAUCCAAUGAUUAUAUAUUAACUCCUAACUCACUACUGGACCAAUCUAUUAACCAAUAGAAGAAAUACUGUUAAUAUGAGUAACAAGAUUUGUAUCUCCUAGCACAAGCUUAUAUCAAACCGAAUAAUAACUGAUAGUUAACGGCCAAAUAAAUAUAAUCUCACAUAAACUAUUUAUUAACCCACCGUUAAUCCAACACAGGUGUGCAUAAAGGAAAGAUUAAAAGAAAUAAAAGGAACUCGGCAAACACAAACCCCGCCUGUUUACCAAAAACAUCACCUCUAGCAUUACUAGUAUUAGAGGCACUGCCUGCCCAGUGACAACUGUUUAACGGCCGCGGUAUCCUGACCGUGCAAAGGUAGCAUAAUCAUUUGUUCUUUAAAUAAGGACUUGUAUGAAUGGCCACACGAGGGUUUAACUGUCUCUUAUUUCUAAUCAGUGAAAUUGACCUUUCCGUGAAGAGGCGGAAAUAAUCCAAUAAGACGAGAAGACCCUAUGGAGCUUUAAUUGACCUAACCCAACAGAAUAAUACUUAACUCCACCAAGGACUAACAAACAUUCUAACUGGGUUAUAAAUUUCGGUUGGGGUGACCUCGGAGCACAAAAAACCCUCCGAGAACUAUCUACUAAGACUGACAAGUCAAAGUUAAUCUUUUCAAUUGAUCCAGUCCCACUGAUCAACGGAACAAGUUACCCUAGGGAUAACAGCGCAAUCCUAUUCUAGAGUCCCUAUCGACAAUAGGGUUUACGACCUCGAUGUUGGAUCAGGACAUCCCAAUGGUGCAGCAGCUAUUAAUGGUUCGUUU
rnacentral:rRNA from 1 species